AAUCAACGCUGGCGGCGCGCUUAACACAUGCAAGUCGAACGAGAAAGCCCGCAAGGGUGAGUAAAGUGGCGUACGGGUGAGUAACACGUGGAUGAUCCACCUCUUAGUGGGGAAUAACUCUGGGAAACUGGAGAUAAUACCGCAUAAGCCUGGGAAGGGAAAGCGUUAUUUGAAAAGAUGACGCGCUGAGAGAGGAGUCCGCGGCCGAUUAGCUAGUUGGCAGGGUAAAAGCCUACCAAGGCGAUGAUCGGUAGCCGGCCUGAGAGGGCACACGGCC
rnacentral:rRNA from 1 species